CUGAAAUUCUUCUUAAAGAGGCCGUAGUCCUCCAUAACCACCGCAAACAAGUUUGCAGUGUGGUUUUCGGAGAUGAGAGUACGGAUGGGAGAUGUGGGGCCCUCACGCGUUGCAAAGGCGUGUCGCCCGACAACCACUACCUCUCCCUGUCUCUCUCUCUCCCUCCCUAUAUAUAUAAACCCACAAUUUGUCUCUCACCGUCUCACAAUUCAAAAGCAAAUUUUCUCUGUUCUUCUUCCCCUCUACCUCACCGAGUCCUCUCUCUCUCUCUCAACCUAUGGACGCCGCCUCCAUGUCUCUCGAUUCCCCCCGCACUCCCCCACGCUCACGCUCGUCCCUGAUGGAGGAUGAUGCUGAGGUGGACGCUCAGAUUUUAUGUCUGAGCCAGGGCUUGGGCCACAUCGUCCAAACCGUUGAGCAUCUCCGUCGGAGCACUGAAGCUCGCCGCCGUCGCCUCUCGGUCUCUCCAACUGCGCCACCACCACUCGCAUCUCCCUUGGUUCUUGAGCUAAUUGCACAGCAAGCGACGGAUCUGGACAAGCAUAUCCUUCACCUGAAGGCUUCGCUGGACAUCGGCAUUCUCCAAGGAGGCGUGACACCACUCACACUUGCCCCCCUUCCUGCGGUGAGGCUGUGGACCAGUUUCUUCGCUGUUCAGUGCGACAUGAAUUUGCUGGGCGAGCUGCUAAGCCGUCUCAACGCUGGGACUGUUUUCGUUGCGGAGGACGGGACUCCAGUGGUUUACCAGACUGUUGGAAAUAUCGAAGAUGUCCAGUUGCUGAAGAGGCUGAGUGACGGUGGCUUCUGCACUCCACAUGCCAGCUGCCGAGAUUUUCUUACCAACGCAGAGUUUGCUGCCAUCCAUGAGUUUGCUGCCAUCCAUGACUUACUCAUGGAUAGGUGCCAGCACUAAAUACCAGGAUCUUUGAUCGGGGAAGCUAGUGUAUCAAGGCCUCUCUGAUGCUGGUCUCUACACCGUCUUCAACUCUUCAUCCACUUACCAACUGCUUUUGUUGCUUCUGCUUCCCAAUUUUUGUGGCAUUAGCGUCUCGGUCACCCUUCUGCAAAGAUGCUUCAUCAACUCACCUCACAAAAUCAUGUUCGGCUUUUAGGUUCUAGCUCUAGUAGUUUUUGUUCAGAUUGUCAACUAGGUAGGAGAUAUGAGCUGUCUUGUGAAUAGAUGACAGUAGGACUUCAUGCCUAUAACUGUGAAUGAAUAGUGGAUGUGCUUCAGCCUUACAUACUGAAUCAUGGUGACUCUAAGCUAGCUUUUCGGCUACUUGUUCAUGAAUCUAUAUGUCAAACAGUAAUUUUUCUGUUCUGGUUACAAGUUUGCAUUGCAUAUCUGCUCUUAACUUGAGAUGCUUUUGAGAAAUAUUUCUAAUCACUGUUCUUCCUUUGCUAAUCUAUUGAGGGGUUCUUUCUCUUUCUUUUUUUCCUAUCUCUAGUAAGUAUUCGUCCCUUUCUUCUAAUCUGCUAAGCUCAUGGCAAAGAAGAUAAAAAGUCCUUGCAACCCAGAAUACUAUAUAUAUGUUAAAAAGCAACUAGUACAUAUACAUGUACAUGUUUUACAUCUUGAUCAGUAAGAAGUACAUUAGUGACUUCGCUUCUGAUAUCCAUUCACUACAAGAGCACACAGAAAUUGGACGCGCACACAUUAAAGAAUGAUUAGGCAUUGAAGAUCUAAUAGUAAGGUUAAAAAUGAUGCUUGAUGGUUUCGGCAACAUGCUUCAAUUUUUCAUUGCCUCUUCAUCAUUUACGCCCAGCAUGGAAUGCUUACAGACUCUGAGGUCAGCUCCUCUGGUUUUUGAUUCGAUUUCGAGCAAAUGUGCAUUGUUUGUUGCAAAUUGUAGAUGAAUUUGUUCUGUUUCAGGCGUGCUAUGAGCACCUACCAGAGGAAGUGUUCUCUGGCCGAUGAGAUUCAGCUGGUGAGGUUCCUUCUGUGUGUAAUUGAGAGCUGUCAUUCGGAGUUAAGUAGCUCAUUGCAUUCGAUUCGCAACCAGAGCUCUGCUUCUGAAGUGGGAAAGAGAAAGCCAAUGCCGUGAUAUGGCAGAGUAUGGGAAGUUCAGACCCUUGCAUUCAAUAUGCUUGGAGAAACAAUCUCUAGGGCCAGCUCGUCGUUUCCUGUUGAUAUCUGGAAAUCAUCUAUUGAUGUAGCAAUCCUAUUCUAGGCUCGUGUUUAUAAGCAUACGAACGUACAUUUCAUUCUGAGGCUGUUUUUAUUUGAACCAGGUUUUUAGGAAAGUGAUGGAUGUAUUGGCAGCUAAAAGCCUGCUUGUAGAAGACAUUGUAAUAUCGAGCUAACUUAUCUUUGGCCUUGCUGUUGGCUCUCUCUAAACAAACAUGUAAACAAAGAUACAAAUGAAAGCAUGAAUCUGGAGUACUGCUUGUUUCAACUCGUUUUCCAUAACUUUUCAUCCUUACAUAUUAUUACCAUGACGCUUGUGCUUUACAGGUUUUAUUUAUCUCUCCUGCAUAGUCUGCACUUGACUCUCUCAGAUCUUAAGUGUUCCCUCCCUGACCAUGUUUUGUAGCUGCUUUGCAAAUGUUCUUGUUAGUAGUAGAAGCCAGCUUACCAGGCCGGUAACUGGUCAAAAGGAGAGUGAACUGAGUGUAGCAAGCCUUAAGUCUGGUUUGGAAGAUCCUAAAAAGACAGAUCGUAGUCCAUAUAAACCUCCACACCUACGCUAAAGGGACGGUUCAAAGCAGAUUGGAGCUUGAGGUUCUCAAGGUUUAUCAGAUGAGGAAACUUCCACACUUGACCUCGCCUCUCUGAUUUAUAGUGACAGUGAUGGAUCACUUAAAGACACUGAGAGCAUUCAGAAAUCGAAGGUCAGAGUAGCUACCACUGUUUGUAUACAGGUAAGUUUGGCAUGGCGUUUCGGUUCUUCCCGGUUUUUUCUUCUCAUCAUCAAUAGUCGGCAACAAAAUAGGGUAGAUGUUAGGUAUCCUUUUUGGUGCCUGUUCUUUACAUCUACCAUAAUUUGAAUGCAAAGAAAUAUUUUGAAACUUAAAAUACAGAGAGAUGAAAGGAAGAUGUUAUUUGAUCUUCCUUGAGAAGUACCUUCUCUUUCUGUUGAUUUUGUUAGCUGGAAUACCUAAUGCUUUUGUGAAAUUUUAAUAACAUGGGGACACAUUUAAACAAUGACAUGAUUUAUUCUGCAAUAUAUGUGGAUAAGAUGGUAUGCUUGACUUUGAUAAUGCACGCUUGCGGAUUGACAAAAAUAACUUUUUGGAAGGAUAUCUGUCAAGCUGAUUCGAAAUCAUUUAGUAGCCAAUGGACACUGCUUUUGCCAACCAAUGAUGUAUUACAACCUAGGAAGUUUGAAGCAACACUAAUGACUUGUUUGCUGUUUGAUCCCUAUUUGAAGUGGUGCUUCUAGCUGACACAUGCUUCUUAUGGUGCCUAGGCACGGGUUGCAUCUGCCUCAACUCUGGAAGCAAUGUUGGAUGGGCCUUCUUCUGUUUUUCUGCUGGUAGCAGAGUUCAAAGAGUCUUCUAAAAGGGGAUCUUUUACAGCACUUUCAAGUUCCCUUGGACAGAUACUAAUGCAGCUUCAUACAGGUAUUUUAUACUUGGUUCAACGACAAACUCAUAGUAGAUUGCUGGCAUCCUUGUUCAAGAUUCUCAUGCUUUUGAUAUCAUCUACACCAAAUUUAUUCUCCAACCGAAGUAUUUUUAUUGUCAAUGUUUUUUUCUUUCUUUUUUCAAUGUCACAUGUUUGUUUGUUUGU